rnacentral:tRNA from 1 species
UCCCUUGUAGCUCAGUUGGUAAAGAAUCUGCCUGCAGAUGCAGGAGACCCAGGUUUGAUUCCUGGGUUGGGAA